GCACGCACGUGUGUAGAAAUUUUCUUCAACAUGUUUAUGGAAAACAUGGUCAGGAAACACCACUCAGUUGAAAUUUGAUGUUUGCUUGAAGCCCGAUGUACGUAAAGCUGAUAUAACUGAGGUGACAGUAGAGAUACGAGCUUGUAGUGAUUCUACAUCUACUUCCUUGACAGUUUCUCUAGCUGAUGUAUUGAAAGAUGACACGGAAAACGAGAAUCAUUCAGUUGGAAAUGAUGAACAUUGGCCAAUUGUUCACACGCACAAUAUUACUGGAGCUCAAUAUGUUGUAGCCGGCAGCAGUCCUACCUUACAGAUUUCUCUAAGUGGGAGCAAGUUGCCCCUCCUUUCUGAUACUGGCAUAUUAGCAACAAACAGUGACUCUCCAACACUACCAAAAAGUCAACAAUGAAAUUGUUGAAUGCUAAUGUUUUGAAGAGAAUCGUGGUCCUUGACUGGCCAGCACAAAUCUUUUACUCAAAACAUUAAAAUUUCAAUUGAUAGAAUGAUAGUCAUGUAGUUGAGAAAUAUGUGUGUAGCUAGGUAUUGAAAGUAUAUUUGCAUGCAAGUGCCACAUUUAGCAAUUAUUGUACAGAGUAUUUAGUAGUUUAUGUGUUGUACAUACUGUACUGAACUAUUUGUUAUGCAAGUAUUGCUGUAACAACUUUUGUAAUGUUGGAGAGUAGCAAAGUACACAACAACUAUCUUGUAGAUCAACAACAAACACAC